CUUGCGGCCAUAUAAUGUUGAAACACCGGUUCUCGUAUCAUCACCGAAGUUAAGGAACGUCGAGUCUGGUCAGAACCUAGAUGGGGGACCGCUUAGGAAUAUCAGGUGCUA